AUUUGCAGUGGGUGAGGUUUUCUAAACAUUAAAAAUACAGAAACAAAACAUAAUUAUUUAAUUUCAUCCCAAGCAUGAAGUAAUAAUGCAACACCCCAUGUUGAAACAUUUAGUCUUGAAAGCUUGUGCUAUCGUUGUGCAUAUAUUAUGGACUGUAUAUUUUAAUCAGAAUACUGAGAGUACUGAAUCAGGGAAUACUCCAAUUUUGCUACACUUUUGUGUCUGGCAAAAUAUUUUUUAUACUCAUGAGCUCUCUCUAAACAUACACAACUCUCAAGUAAUAUAUAUAUCUUUUUGUAUAUCAUGCUAAGCGAGUACUUUCUGAGGAAGCAUUUAGAUUUUUGCCCUCAGCUCCCUUUCAGAUUAUUUCUGUGUGCCUGUAUUGACUGGAUAGCAUUUUCAUACAUUAACUAUAAAACCCCCUUGGAGAUCUGUAAUGUAUGCUCAAUUGACAGCAUUGUAUGGGGACUUUUUUGCUUUGUUUUUGAUAUUUGUUGGAGAGUUUUUUUAAAUAUUUGCAGAAUUAAUUCUUUGUUUGCUCAAUUAUUUAGAUUUGGUGAGAGAAAACUAGAACUGCAAAAUUAACAGACUGCUGCUAUAGAGGCACAGUAGGAUUGUCUCGCUGUGGAUCCCUAUACUUUUGUUUGCAGUCAACUUCUCAUGAAAAGGGACAAAUCUGUUAUCUUGCCUAGCAGCAGUCUGUUACAAAGCACUUUAGAAACAGAGAUCUAAAGAAGCAGGAAGAGUGAAACAGAAGUUAUCAGGAUCAGCACCAUGGAGAACUAUUGAUUCUCCUGACACAAAAGGCUUUGCUUUCUCACACUCUGUAUGACCAUCCCACUCUUGGUUGUAUGAGAAGAUGAACACAGGUGAGAAACACGUGAUAAAAACAACCCGGUCCAAAACAAGCAUCAGUGAAACAGAAGAUGGGUUAGAAAGAUCUCGGGGAAACAGGCAUCCCACCAGAAAAGCGAACAGGGAAGAUCUCCUGGAAUUCUACCUCCGUAUGCAGGAUGAGCAAGAUGACAUCUUCACUCUGCCAUGUCCUAACUCCUUGAGGAGAGACAUCAAAGUACUUCAGUGUUUCAUAAAGAUGCAUGAACCACCUGGAGAUGUCAUCCAUGAAGAAGUUCUUAUUGAGACUGAAGUUACUGAAAUAAAGAAAAAAAAUCUCACCGAAGCUGUAAACCAAAUGCAAGAAUAACAAAUCACCAGCUAGAAGGGCUGAAAAAAAAAAAAAAAGAAAGCAAUUUUCCAAAAGAUGAGUGUGACUGUGUGGGUGAGACAGUUGCCAAAUACAAAAUUCUGUUGUCAAUGAUCACAAGACUGUGGUGGGGGGCACACAAAAAUAACUAUUAACAACUAUUAACUACUGUAAAAGUAUUUCUGCUUGAACAUAAUGCUCAUUUAUAAUUUUGGAGAGAUGUACUCUGUUAGCUAAGAGAUGUACCAAUUCUAUCUGUGUGAAAAUAGAAUAAAAUUAUGAUUUUUCUGAUCUUUGUAAUUCA
rnacentral:lncRNA from 1 species